UUCGCUGACGAGUGGCGGACGGGUGAGUAAUGUCUGGGAAACUGCCUGAUGGAGGGGGAUAACUACUGGAAACGGUAGCUAAUACCGCAUAAUGUCGCAAGACCAAAGAGGGGGACCUUCGGGCCUCUUGCCAUCGGAUGUGCCCAGAUGGGAUUAGCUUGUUGGUGGGGUAACGGCUCACCAAGGCGACGAUCCCUAGCUGGUCUGAGAGGAUGACCAGCCACACUGGAACUGAGACACGGUCCAGACUCCUACGGGAGGCAGCAGUGGGGAAUAUUGCACAAUGGGCGCAAGCCUGAUGCAGCCAUGCCGCGUGUAUGAAGAAGGCCUUCGGGUUGUAAAGUACUUUCAGCGGGGAGGAAGGGAGUAAAGUUAAUACCUUUGCUCAUUGACGUUACCCGCAGAAGAAGCACCGGCUAACUCCGUGCCAGCAGCCGCGGUAAUACGGAGGGUGCAAGCGUUAAUCGGAAUUACUGGGCGUAAAGCGCACGCAGGCGGUUUGUUAAGUCAGAUGUGAAAUCCCCGGGCUCAACCUGGGAACUGCAUCUGAUACUGGCAAGCUUGAGUCUCGUAGAGGGGGGUAGAAUUCCAGGUGUAGCGGUGAAAUGCGUAGAGAUCUGGAGGAAUACCGGUGGCGAAGGCGGCCCCCUGGACGAAGACUGACGCUCAGGUGCGAAAGCGUGGGGAGCAAACAGGAUUAGAUACCCUGGUAGUCCACGCCGUAAACGAUGUCGACUUGGAGGUUGUGCCCUUGAGGCGUGGCUUCCGGAGCUAACGCGUUAAGUCGACCGCCUGGGGAGUACGGCCGCAAGGUUAAAACUCAAAUGAAUUGACGGGGGCCCGCACAAGCGGUGGAGCAUGUGGUUUAAUUCGAUGCAACGCGAAGAACCUUACCUGGUCUUGACAUCCACGGAAGUUUUCAGAGAUGAGAAUGUGCCUUCGGGAACCGUGAGACAGGUGCUGCAUGGCUGUCGUCAGCUCGUGUUGUGAAAUGUUGGGUUAAGUCCCGCAACGAGCGCAACCCUUAUCCUUUGUUGCCAGCGGUCCGGCCGGGAACUCAAAGGAGACUGCCAGUGAUAAACUGGAGGAAGGUGGGGACGACGUCAAGUCAUCAUGGCCCUUACGACCAGGGCUACACACGUGCUACAAUGGCGCAUACAAAGAGAAGCGACCUCGCGAGAGCAAGCGGACCUCAUAAAGUGCGUCGUAGUCCGGAUUGGAGUCUGCAACUCGACUCCAUGAAGUCGGAAUCGCUAGUAAUCGUGGAUCAGAAUGCCACGGUGAAUACGUUCCCGGGCCUUGUACACACCGCCCGUCACACCAUGGGAGUGGGUUGCAAAAGAAGUAGGUAGCUUAACCUUCGGGAGGGCGCUUACCACUUUGUGAUUCAUGACUGGGGUGAAGUCGUAACAAGGUAACCGUAGGGGAACCUGCGGUUGGAUCACCUCCUUACCUUAAAGAAGC
rnacentral:rRNA from 2 species